UACGUAGGGUGCGAGCGUUAAUCGGAAUUACUGGGCGUAAAGCGUGCGCAGGCGGUUCGUCGUGUCUGGUGUGAAAGCCCCGGGCUUAACCUGGGAAUGGCAUUGGAAACUGGCGAACUGGAGUGUGGCAGAGGGGGGUGGAAUUCCGCGUGUAGCAGUGAAAUGCGUAGAGAUGCGGAGGAACACCGAUGGCGAAGGCAGCCCCCUGGGCUGACACUGACGCUCAGGCACGAAAGCGUGGGGAGCAAACAGG
rnacentral:rRNA from 1 species